rnacentral:rRNA from 1 species
CUACGGGGCGCAGCAGUGAGGAAUAUUGGACAAUGGGCGAAAGCCUGAUCCAGCCAUGCCGCGUGAGUGAUGAAGGCCCUAGGGUUGUAAAGCUCUUUCACCGGUGACGAUAAUGACGGUAACCGGAGAAGAAGCCCCGGCUAACUUCGUGCCAGCAGCCGCGGUAAUACGAAGGGGGCUAGCGUUGUUCGGAAUUACUGGGCGUAAAGCGCACGUAGGCGGAUUGUUAAGUCAGGGGUGAAAUCCCGAGGCUCAACCUCGGAACUGCCUUUGAUACUGGCAAUCUUGAGUCCGGGAGAGGUGAGUGGAAUUCCGAGUGUAGAGGUGAAAUUCGUAGAUAUUCGGAGGAACACCAGUGGCGAAGGCGGCUCACUGGCCCGGUACUGACGCUGAGGUGCGAAAGCGUGGGGAGCAAACAGGAUUAGAUACCCCGGUAGUC